rnacentral:lncRNA from 1 species
UUUUAAUUUAGUAUCAUGCUUGUAAAGCAGAUCACAGAUACAAACUUCUGCUCUAACUAGAAUAAGCUUAGAUCAAAACACUUGGGAAAAAGAAAAAGGAAGACAAGAUAAAAUCUAGAACUUGAACAUUGCUCAACUGAUGGAAAAUGACAAAAGGCUGAUGAAUAUAGGAGCUGAUUUAGAGUUCAAAAGUAUUUGGAAGAGGUGGGAAAUUGUAUCAGUCAUCCCAGAAAGGAUACAUUCUCAAAUGAUGUUUGACUUUGUAAACUGAAGUUAUGAGGAAAAAGAAGGAGCCAGUCCUAGAUGUAAACUGGACAUUUUA